rnacentral:rRNA from 1 species
UACGGAGGGUGCAAGCGUUAUCCGGAUUCACUGGGUUUAAAGGGAGCGCAGGCGGAUUGGUAAGUCAGUGGUGAAAGCCUUAAGCUUAACUUGGGAACUGCCAUUGAUACUAUCAGUCUUGAAUAUUGUUGAGGUUUGCGGAAUGGGUCAUGUAGCGGUGACAUGCAUAGAUAUGACCAGGAACAUCUAUUGCGAAGGCAGCAGGCUAAGCAAAGAUUGACGCUGAGGCUCGACAGCGUGGGGAUCAAACAGG